UACAUGCAAGUCGAGCGAACAGAUGAGGAGCUCGCUCCUUUGACGUUAGCGGCGGACGGGUGAGUAACACGUGGAUAACCUACCUAUAAGACUGGGAUAACUUCGGGAAACCGGAGCUAAUACCGGAUAAUAUAUUGAACCGCAUGGUUCAAUAGUGAAAGACGGUCUUCAUGUCACUUAUAGAUGGAUCCGCGCCGCAUUAGGUAGUUGGUAAGGUAACGGCUUACCAAGGCAACGAUACGUAGCCGACCUGAGAGGGUGAUCGGCCACACUGGAACUGAGACACGGUCCAGACUCCUACGGGAGGCAGCAGUAGGGAAUCUUCCGCAAUGGGCGAAAGCCUGACGGAGCAACGCCGCGCGAGUGAUGAAGGUCUUCGGAUAGUAAAACUGUCUUAUCAGGGAAGAACAAAUGUGUAAGUAACUGUGCACGUCUUGACGGUACCUGAUCAGAAAGCCCCGGCUAACUACGUGCCAGCAGCCGCGGUAAUACGUAGGUGGCAAGCGUUAUCCGGAAUUAUUGGGCGUAAAGCGCGCGUAGGCGGUUUUUUAAGUCUGAUGUGAAAGCCCACGGCUCAACCGUGGAGGGUCAUUGGAAACUGGAAAACUUGAGUGCAGAAGAGGAAAGUGGAAUUCCAUGUGUAGCGGUGAAAUGCGCAGAGAUAUGGAGGAACACCAGUGGCGAAGGCAGACUCUCUGGUCCUGUAAUUUAGUCUGAUGU
rnacentral:rRNA from 1 species